UCAACGACUACAUAUAUACCACGGUUACAUUUGUGAUUACCAGUCGGAUAUGAAACACGCGGUUUUAAGAUACAAUCCCCUCUAUAAAGAUAAGGAAGUGAAAAUAUAUCAUUUUUGAAUACGGAACAUAUACAAUCAAAGGUACGGUGUGAAAAAGUGAAGGAAGUAUCUUUCAGUAAGGACACAGAACUUGAACAAUGACCCUACGGCUUUAUUUGAGUACAAGUCAUUUAUAGAAGAGGCUUUGGAAAUUAUCUUGUGAUACAAUAAUACCGGUUGGUUAAAUGAACGUACAAUUUCCAAGAAAUGGAGGAAAGGAAUAAUUCGUUGACAAAUCAAACGAAAUAUGGAAGAAACAGGCAAACGUCGAGUCGAGGACCUCCCGAUAUCAAUUCAGGAAGUUAAUGAUAUCGUUUCAACUAUCCUGUUAUUUUUGUUUUCGGUUUUAAGCUGUUUUUAACCGACGCUGCAUAUUUUAUUCAACAACGCCCAAUUAAAUAGUUUUCUUACAAAAAGAGUUGCGGAAAAGCACACGGUAGGACAAACCUAUAUGACUUUUAUCUUUUUACUAUAUCACGCCCAUCCAUCCGUCCCGUUUUUCCGGUCUAUAUCUCUUUCAGACAUUGUUGGAUUUUACAACUAUAAGUCAGAAGUGACCACCCUAGCACGAGGAUGUGUAGCACACAAGACCCGUGUCCCUACAUUCAAAGUCAAGGUCACAGCAACUGUCCGGUCAAUAUCUUUUUCAUUCAUUGUUGGAUUUAAAAAAAUGCCAGAAGUGCAACAUAGCAUGUGAUGCGCACACGAUCCGAGUCCCUUACUUCAAGGUCAAAGCCACAAAAAGCUUCUGAACUUAGUAUGUUUUGCUAAAUAAGCCUUACUGAUAGUAGUUCGUGUCCGGUACAUAUCUUUCUCAUUCAUCGGUUGAUUUCAAAAUUAUUUAGCAGAAGUGAGCAACAAAGCAUGCGGAUGUGUCGUGCAUAAGACAUGUUUCCUUACAUUUGUGGUCAAGGUCAUUACAGAACCAUUAUUUUUUCCUCAUAUCUUCCUCAUGUCUCUAAAUUAUUGAAAAAUCUGUGGCACAUCAACUUGGACACGUUCGACUCGAUUUCUUUAAUUAUUAUAUCCAGGCAGUAUUUCCUGCACUUAGGUGCGCGGGGGUAUAAACCACAUUAUAAGAUAGCUCUUGUUUAUCAACCGGCACACAUUCACCUUUCGAUGUAUGUGAGCCCUUGCAAAAAGGCGUAACGUAAAUUGGAAGUGCGUAUUGGAAGUGCGUAUAUUACUGACUGCAGUAUUAUACCAGGACUCUUUGUCUACCUGGUACGCGUGUUGCUAAUAAGGGGUGUUUUUUUCUAGACAACAAAUGAAAAAAAACAUACGGAACCACCCCCUAAGGGCUGAGAAAAAUAUCGACCAGUCACUUAAUGACAUGGGGAAUGCAGCAAUCUAUGUUAGAAAAGUAACGUUCCUGGAAAGAUCCGUCAUACGUGUGACAGUUCAAACACCAAUAAUAAAAAAAAUGGAAAGAAAAAUAUAAAUUAAUAAAUAAAGGUAACAGCCUUCAAAUGAAUGUUAUUUUGUUUGUAAUCACAUUGGCAGGAAAAUUGUUUCACUAACAAAAAUGGCGUACUAUCUGCAUCGACGAAUCAUCAGAUAUUUUGUAGCUAUCUUAAAACAUAAAAUAAAUAUGUCUUUCCCUCAUUCAGUUGGAGAACUGAAAGAAAAAUCAUACAUAGGACUUGGUAUUUAUUUGGCAAAAGAAGUUAACACGUUUCCGUUGGGAGUAAACCUUUCUCAAAGUUGGUUAUGUUAUUUUCACGCACUGGCAUUUGUUUUAAUACGACGUAGAUAUUUGGAAUACGGAAGUUGGAAGUUGCAAAUGAACCAUUGAUGUGCAUCCAAAUAAUAACAUUCCACAAAAUAAUCCGUGAGGAGUAAAACAAAACGGGCACAAAUUACUCUUCAUCUUUUUUAAAGUGUUUUCUAGACGCGAAUCAUCACUUGAUCAAGUGGGUGAAAAGGUAAAUAACGAAGACAAAGCAAUAUAAAUGAAGACCAUCAUUGAAAGUGAACAGGAAAUUUUGUAACAAUGAUACAAAAUUAUGACAAAGGAACAGAAUAGAAGAGGAAUAUUAUGAUCACUGAUCUGAAUCACUUAUUGUAAAAGUCUUAGUAUUCAAAGCUAUCAUAAGCAUGUUACAAAAUGUAGUUUUCCAAAACUAAAGUUGUGUAAGUAGGCUCGAGAACAAGCAUCCUUAAUACAUUUUCCGAUUAUGUUGCAAGUUCUUGUUUUGACUUUGUUUUAGUUUGUGAUAGUAUACCAUCAGGCACUUUUAAAACAACAUUGAACAAAUCGGGUAACAAAUUAAACAUUUCGAACAUUUUAUAUUUUUCACUGUUUUGUAAUUUUACCCCGCUAUCACUUCCAAAUCAAACGUCAGCGCGCACAGGUCUGGGACACGAUUUCAACGAUGUCAUUUCUAAAAUGACGUAAUGCUUAGAUACAAUUUAAUGGGCGCACUUUUCUGAAAAAAAAAACCAGUUGGAUUUCAUUUUUAUUUCCUUGAAGGCAAAAAAUAUCUUUCUUUUAGUUUAAGAUCACAAUAUAUUUCACCUCGUGAACAACAAAAUUUAAUAUUUCACUUGUGGUUACGCCACUUUAGAAAUAAAGCUUUCGCUUCUCACUUGGCGAAAUAUAAAACGAUCUUGCACUGAAACAAUCAAUUGUCCUCUAUACUUCCAUUUUAAUGGAUAAUGAUAAUGCUCGAAUGUUUUUCGUAAAAUUUGAUAAUGUUUAGAUACUGUAUUUCAAAGCAUAACCUUAACUUAAUAUACCAACAAAUCCUUGGUAUAUAAUGACCUGACUGAGUGUCAUCGAUACAUUUUGUUUCGAUAAAUGUUCAACAAGCUGCUGAAAAGUAAUUUCACUAAGAGCUGAUACAUAUUAUUUGUCUUCUCUGGUAAAAACAUUAGGGUUGUUAUUUUUGUUGAAUCAAAAAUAGUAGUAUUUCAGUGGCAUCAGAAAUUCAUUUUAAGUACAAACAAAAGGGCUAUGAUGAACCCUAUAUCGCUCAACAAAUAUGAAACAAUUCAGUGGUUAUGAAGGAUGUUGCUGCUUGCCUAGAAAUUAAGUGUUUGCCGAGUAAUUGGAUGGUUGAUAAAGAGGCAGGUCAUUGUAAGGGGGAAUCAAAAGUAUUUCCAUGGAAGCCAAUUCAUUGUCAGCUGACAAUGGAUGUGAUGGCAAUUUAAGCCGAGUGUUGCUAUGGAAGUGAUUGGUUGCUUAGGAAGUGAUUGGUUGAUAUGGAUGCUGGUAGUUGCUAAGGAAAAGAGUGGCUGCUAAGAAUAUCAUUGGUUGCUAAGAAAGUCAUUGGUGGCUAAGGAAUGAAGUUGUUGCUAAGGAAGUAAUUAGUUGGUAUGAUAAUCGGUGGUUUCUAAGGUAGUUGCUUGCAAUGAAUGAAGGUAGUGGCAUUAAUCGUAGAUUGUUAAGGAAGUCAUUAGUUCCUAGGGAUGUCAUAGGUAGUUGGUAAGGAAGUCAUUAGUUGAAAUGAAACUCCCUUGUCGCUAAGGUAGUCAUAGAUUGCUAAGAAAGUUAUAGCUGGGAAGUACGAAGUACGAAGUAAAUGGUUUCUAAGCAAGUCAUUGGUUGCUUAGGAAGCGAUUCGCUGCUAUUAAUGAAGGUAGUUGGUAAGGAAAUCAUGGUUGCAAAGGAAGUCCUUGGUUGCUAAGAAAGUUGGGGUUAGUCAGGAAGAUACUGGUUGUCAAGGAAGUUAUUGGCUCCUAUGGAAGUAAGUGGAUGCUCGGGAAUUAUCUGGUUUCUUAGGUAGUCAUUGGCUUCUAAGGAAGUCAUUUUUUUCUAAGAAAUUCAAAGGUUGCUAUGAAUAUAGGUAGUUGUUAAGGUUGUCAUUUGCAACAAAGGAAAUCAUUGGUUAAUAAGAACGCCAAAAAUUGCUUUUGAGUCAUUGGUUGCUAUAGAUGUAUUAGCUGCUAAGGAUAUAAGUCGUGUUAAGGAAGUCAUUUUUGCUCAGGAAGUCAUUGGUUGCUACAGAAGUAAAUGGUCACUAAGUAAGUAAAUGGUUGCCAAGGAUGUCAUGUGGUUGAUAAGAAAGUCAUCUGUAGUCAAGGAGGGUCACUGGUAGCUAAUGAAGAAUGUGGUUGCUUAGUAUGUCAUUGGUUGCGAAGGAAAUCAUUAGUGGCUCAGUAUGUAAGUGGUUGAUAAGAAGGUAAUGGGUUGCUAAUCUAGUCAUUUGUUGCUAAGAAGGUCAUUGGUUGCUAUAUUUGUAGGUAGUUAUUACCACUACAUGAUAUCAAGGGUCUGGACCAUGCGGUUUAUAAAGAAGAUUUUGAAAGAUAUUUCUAUAUAAGUAUUAUAUAAGAACACCUGAGACAGCGGGGAGGGGCCAGCUUAUUUCCAAAGAGAAUUAUUUGAACAAUUUGGAAUUUUGAAAAAUUACUACCUGAGGCUACAUACGAACUAUCAAUGGUUCUGACCAUGCGGUUUCAGAAAAGAAGAAAUAUUAGUACAUAAGUAUAUGGAUAUCCAGGGACCCCAACGGGGCGGGGUCAGCUUUGACUUAAGGCACAUAAUUUUAACAAUCUUGAUAAACGGCCACUACAUUAGACUACAUUCCAAAUUUUAAAGGUCUAUGAUUUGCGGCUUCAGAGAAGAAGAUUUUCAAAGUUUUUACUUCAUAAAUAUAUAUAAUAAAAGGGCCCCCUUAGGAACAUUGCUGUGAAGUUAUUUUGUAAUCUGACCAGCAGUUUCUGAGGAGUUUCCAUAUAGUAAUUUAGUGAAAACCAGCCCCGCCCCUGUCGGCAAGGUUUUUAAAGAAUAAACAUUCCGUAAAGGAAUUUGAUAAAGGAUCACAUGAUUUUAAAAUCAACGGUUUUUGAGGAGAAGUUUUUCCUUUUGGUUGUCAUGGCAACCAGAGUUCUACAUGGAACCAUUUUUAUUUAAGGAAUCUGAGAGUAGACCAUCCAAGGAUCAUUCCAAUUGGCUAUUGUGGUUAAGGAGGAGAAUUUGUUUGAAUAAAAAAGAUGACGACGGACGACUUAAGGUCCCCUAGCGCAACAGCUCAUCCCUGAAUGAAAUAUUUCAUUCACUGAAUCGUACAUAUUCUUACUUAUCAUAAACGUCUGGGCUUCAAGGCAGAAAAAAAUGGAAAGAUAAAGAAAUUGACUGCAUCCCUCUGCUAUACAAACUAUUUUAAUGUGAUUAUAAAUGUUAGUCUUUAGAAUAUGGAAAGUGAGUUUGGUCACUUGGCGACUCUUGUGAAAAGGAAAUAUACAAGAUGGCGUCAAAGAUGGCCGCCCUAAAUUGUGAGUAAGAUUUUAUGGUUUAAACAGGGCUAAUUUUAUAAAAUAGUGUUAAUUUUCACAUGGAUUAAAUUGAUUUUAUAACAUACAUCAAAUUGAGAUAUAAAAUAAAGCACUUCAAGGUUAAGGUCAUUUUAAAAUUACUAAUUAUUCUUUAUCAGUUUAUUUGUCUUUAGUUUGUAUCAAAAAGUGGUGGCAGAAUAUGUAUAGCUUUUUAUAUUUUUGAAAACGCCAAGGUUUCAUACCAUUGCAGAAAUGUAAUUGAUAAUUUAACCAUAUUUCAUAUAUUUCCUCGAUUAGAAGUCAAGUGAACAGCAAAAUGACCCUGUAUUAGACCAGGUACACUUAACAAGCUACAUGCAUUAUAGCAAUCGGAACUCCUCGGCUAGUAUGAAGAUAUGGCCACGGAUAUAAUACGGGUCGUAAGAAAAUAGUCCAUCAUGGCCGACCAAGAAGAUGUUCAAACAACCAAGAGAUAAGUUAGACCAAAGACAGAAUGAGGAGCGUAACUGUUACCACUUAUUUGUGUAGAGCAGUAUGGUACCAAUGGUGCAGCCGACUCUGAAUUCCUGGCUUGUUCUAAUGAAAAAAGGCGGAUGAGGCACUGGAAUCCGAAUGUAAUCAAAAAUGCCAUUGUAUAAGGAUUGACCUGUAAUGCAUGGAAAUCAUCUAACACAACUGCAACGCCUACCUUGGGGAAAUGAGUGCAAGAUGGAAACAAAGCAUUCAGUGAAACUUCUUGUCAUCUCAAAUAUUUGAUGACUCAAUACUGAUGUGAAGUUGCAGAUAAAAGUAAUCUGUUGGCCCGUGAUUAUUAGAUACACCCGGACACAUAUUUUAAAAGGGUUAUAUGGUAAAGGAUUUAUCUACGCUUAAAGUGGUUUUCCUAUAUUAAGGAGGGAAAAUAACUACAAAAACAGAAACAGAAGGCAUUGGCAGACCAAAUAAAGGAGAACUAUUUUGUUCAGUUAAAUUUUUAAGACUUUAGAAAAGCCUUUAAUAGGGCACAUUCUUGCAAAUGCCAUAUUGAAAACUGGGCUCUUUAAAAUGUGAAAAGGUGGUCUAGAGGAUAAGCCUCAAAUCCAAGGUUGUGGGUUCAAGCCCCUCCAAGAUACUUUCUCAUGACCUCAGGAAAAGGAUGUCCGUACUUUGGCAACAGACUUAAGAGUGCUUCUGUAAGCUUCCAGCUUGCAUAGCAAUCUGAUUAGGCAUAAAAUAAGAUACUAGCUGAUUUGCAAAUAGUUUUUCCAUUUGUGUUGAUUUGUUUUUCAGUCUGUUGGAAUGUUUAUUAGAAGUGAUGAGCAUUGCUUACUGCAACCAAUAUUUAAUUUCUUUAUUAAGUUGAAUUUAACGAACACAUAACAUGACUUGUGAUUUUACAGAUGCAUGUUUAUUUUGUUGAUUGUAUGAGUUUAUUUUCUCAAAUGAUGUAAUAAAAGUUAU